GGAGCUGGAGAGAUGGUUCAGUGGUUAAGAACGCUGACUGCUCUUCCAGAGGUCCUAAGUUCAAUUCCCAGCAACCACAUGGUGGCUCACAACCAUCUGUAAUGGGAUCCAAUGCCCUCUUCUGGUGUGUCUGAAGACAGGGUCUGUGUACUCAAAUAAAUAAAUAAAUAGAUAGAUAGAUAAAUAGAUAAAUAAAUAAGUCUUAAGAAGGUGCAGUGACUCCCUUGCCAAUCAAACCACCUUUAUCUGUGCUGGCAGAUGGAUGGUUCUGAGUCAGAGCCUUAGCUAUGCAAGACUGGACCAUGGGAGAAGCCAGAUGUGGAGUAUCCACCCACAAACACAGCAUUCUUGUGGUGAGAUGGGAAGCAGAGAAGAAGAGCCUGAAAGUUCUUGGACCAAAUAGCCUCGGAUAUGUAGCACAGCAGCAGACAUCAAGAGGCCCUGCAUCAACAAAGAAUAUUACGUCCCCUCAAUGUCUCGGUUUCGUCAACCUAUCGGAACUGUGCCAGGAAUGCCUGUCUUAGUUCUGCGCUGCGCACCAUUCCUUUUAGACAUAUUCAGACAUCAGUUGUUUCCUCUGCUCCAAGGCUUGUCAAGUCUGUCGGACACCUGGCAUAUGGGCACACGGCAUCAGUCCUUAAUAGAGUGGCCACAUUGGUUCCCAGUGUCUUGAAGCCUCCGGUCAGAGCUCUGACGUACUGCAGUGCACGGAAAGGAAAGAGAAAGACAGUGAAGUCGGUUGUGCAUCGCUUCCUCCGACUUCACUCUGGCCUUUGGCUAA
rnacentral:lncRNA from 1 species